CAUUAACCAAACAAGGGAGAUUGGCAGCGUAAAUCCCUCAGCCCUCGUUUUUGAUCGAGAGGGCGAGUGUACUAUUCUGUUCCCUCCGGGGCUGAAACGGCCUGUAAUUCAAUUUGCAAUGAUUGUACAUCCGCUAAGAAAAGUCAGCCAAAACUUAAUACCAACAUCAAGAAAUCAACAUACAAGUGACAAUUGUUCAGAGGAUGGUGCUGGAGGGAAGGCUCACAGGUGGGCAGGCCUCAAAGAAGUGGGAGAAUGUAAAGAAUAAGUACAAGGUCCCUCCAACUCAGCAGCAACAGAGGUAGAGCAGCCCCCCCUGGCCCUCCACCCCAGGCCCCAGGGAGAUCCCAGCAAACCCUCCCCAUCUACCCCAGUGCAGCACGACAAAGCAUCAGAUGAUGCAGACAGCCCCAGCACCUCAACCUCCAAGCACGGAGACCACAUAAUGUACACCAUUACGGUUAGGGAGAGUGAAAAGGAUGAAGCCAGGUUCGCAUGCCAGGAGCCCAAACAGAGAGGCUCAUAGGUGUCAUGUAAUGUAAAGUGUUGGUCCCAUGUUUCAUGAGCUGAAAUAAAAGAUCCCAGAAAUGUU